ensembl:lincRNA
CCUCGCCUUGCUGGUUUCAGGUAUUACGCAGACAAUUCCACUGGACGGUGUGAGAAGUGUGACAGGAGCUGCAAGGCCUGUCGGGGCCCACACCCCACGGACUGCCUGUCCUGCGAUCCCUAUUUCUUUCUUCUCCGCUCCAAGGGAGAGUGCCACCGCACCUGCCCAGACCACUACUACGCAGAGCAGAGCCUGUGGACCUGUGAGAGAUGCCAUCCCACCUGCAAGGAAUGCGAAGGAAAAGGAGCAUUGCGCUGCUUGUCCUGUGUGUGGAACUACCACCUCAUGGGAGGAAUUUGCAGCCUGGACUGUCUUGUGGGGAAAUACCGAGUGGGAGAGGGAGAGAAAUUUACCUGUGAAAAAUGCCACGGGAGCUGCAUGGAAUGCAAGGGACCCGGCCCCAAGAACUGCACUGUGUGCCCUGCUCCCCUGCUGCUGUACCCCGAAGACAGCCGCUGCCUGCAGUGCUGCAAUGCCUCCCACCCCACCCCUGGCCAGGAGUGCUGUGACUGCCAGGAAAGCACAGAGGAGUGCCUCCUUCGCACCUGGCCUGCCUCGGAGCGCGCCAAGACGGCCCUGCUGGUCACCUCCUCGCUGGCGCUGGUGCUUCUGCUGGGGGCGGCUGUGGCUGUCUGGAGGAAGUCUCGGGGCCGCACCCAGCCCGUGCUAAGGGCCCGCUAUGAAAAACUGGCGGACCCUGCGAGGUCUUAUUCCCACAAGAGCAGCGAUCGUGAGGCCAGCAGCUUUGAAGAGGACCAGAUAAUUGAGUACAGGGACAGGGACUACGACGAGGACGAUGACGAUGACAUUGUCUACAUGGGCCAGGAUGGCACUGUCUACCGGAAGUUCAAAUACGGGCUGCUGGACGAUGACGAGGUGGAGCUGGAGUACGACGACGAGAGUUAUGCCUACCGGUAACUGGACCGCCGCCCAGAGCCCUGAUGGGUCGGUUUUAUCCCCCGCCGGGCUUCUGUGUGCCUGCCGUCUUCUUCACUAUGAGUUCAAUGAGAAUGUGUAAGAAUUCUGAAAUAUUUUGUGCUUCUUUUGAGUGGCUACACUGCAUUAACAAUUCCUCUUCAAUCAUAAUUGAGGGUCAAGACAAAACAUGAAGGCAUUUCCCUCGAAACAGAGUGUCAAGACCACAAAAUGCAAGAAGCAAAAUAAGUGUGAUUUGUAAAAACUGUGAUGUGAUUAACAAUACUGCGGGGUGGGGGGGACUUAUAGAAAUUCUGUUUCCGGGGUGCAUUGUGGAGACAAGUGCUGCUUUCCAGAAUUCUGAUAUUUCUUUAACUGAUUGUGGGGGGCAGGGGUACAAGAGUGUUGGUGCAGGAGGCUGUUCCUCUUCCCUUGAGCUUUGUGCAGGCUAUGUGUUUGUGAAGACCAAGAAAAGAGGGUUCUCAUCCUCUUUAGCAGAGCUCCGCAGAGAGCAGAGGACAUCCCUGCUCAGCCGGCUCUGGGGUCAGUUAGAGGAGAGAAGUAAAGAGAAGCAGGAUUGUAGCGGAGGUCCCAUGAGCUCACGAGGCCUUGGGUCCUCCCUGGGACCCUGGAGUCCAACAAUACCGAAGGCACGCAAGCUCAGGCCCGCAAGCCCAGUGUGAGGAAAGGACAGUGUUGCCCAGCAUCUCCCCCUUGUGAUUUUCUAAGAGCUUUUUCUGGUAGGAAAUUAAAAAAAAAAAAUGGCAAUGUGAAACUCACAUAAAAUAGGAUAAAAUGGCAAACUCAGCCACCCUUUAAAAAAAAAAAAAAAAUCACUGCUGAGUCAGCAGAGCUUUCUUCCAUCCCGGUCACAGAAGUGUGGAUUUUCCAUAGAAAACAUUGAGACUAGUGGGUAACCUAAAAAAUUAAAAUAAACCCCAGUGUGCUGCUCGGAAACCAUAAUCCAUGGCUGAACAACCUUCCAACACCGAGUUGUCUUCCUGCUCUUCUGGUAAGUGUGCUCUUAGAGCCAUGCAGCUGGAAAUGGUUUUCCAGCAGACAGUGAGGCAGCGGGAGCGCCCUGGCUGCGGGAACAUAGGUAAGCAGAAUCUUACAGAUUUCCUCGUCAAAGAAGAGGUUAAAAGUAUUUCUAGGAGUGGACUACCACAAAGUGAAGCUCAUGUUUUCAGAUGGUGGUGGUGCUCAUGGCAAAAUAUAUUAUAUACCUACUACAUUCCUCUAAAAACAGUCACAUCAUUUACCCACUCAAUACCAGAAGUCUGACAUGUUGGUAUCAUUGUUACUCAUUUCUGUGAGAAGCCUAAGGCUUACAAGAGAAUAAGACACUAGCUUAAGGUCACAGAAAGCUAAUCAAGAUGCAAAGGAUAAGAAGUUAAAACACAUGUUCUUAAUAACUAUGCUCCACUGACACAAGAUGGGAAAAUAAAUACCCUAAAUAGAGUAAAAGCAUGUGUCUUACUCUAUUCUGUGAUAUCAGUAUCCUCCUAGGAGCUGAACAAUCUUUGUGAAAUACACACACACACACACACACACACACACACCACACACACGCACACACAUAUUCAAACACAACAUGUCACCAACUUUCAUGACCAAGAAGCCUUCAGUUUAUGGAAGUCUUGUGUUUCUUUAGCAGAAAGCUCUUCAACAAAGGGUCAGCAAAGCAUUGGUAGGUUUUUUGUAAAUACCUUAGGCUUUGUGAGCUAAAGGAUCUCUAUUACCUUCAACUCUGCUGGGGUCACGUGAUAAAGUAGCCAGUAUAAAAUGAAUGGUAAGCUGUGUUCCAAUCAAACUUUAUUUAUAGAUGGUGAAAUGUGAAUUUCCGAUAAUUAUCAUAUAGUCCUCUUUUGAUUUACUUCUGAGCAUUUACGAAUAUAAGAACAAAAACAAGGGAGGGUCAGGUAUCACCAACAGUGUGCAGUUUGCUGACCGUGGCUUUAAAAAUUCUUCAGAGAUCAUAGAUAUCACAUAUACAAAUGAUAUGCUUCCAUGAUUUUAAUUAUUCAAAAUUACCUGCUCAAAGUCCAUUUGAAGCCCUGAUGGUUUUCUUUUCCAUUCUUAAAAGUAUUUGUAAAAACUGCUUAUAAGGCAGCCAGCACUCUCAUGGGAGAGGCACCUCAUCUCUCGCUGUGUGGUUAUACCACCCGUCUAAGAAACAAGUAAUUUUGUUUGUACUGCGUUGUCCUUGAUAUUGUAAAAACUGAUAGACUGAGUGUGGCAUUUCUUCCUAUAGCCUGGAAAUCAUUUUCCCAAAAGAAAAUCUAUGUUUAUGACACACAGUCAAAGGUUGAAUGAGGUUGAAAUGACCUGAAAUGCUAAGAACACUGUGUUACUUUUUAUGUGACCUGCAAUAAAAAGA